ensembl:snRNA U6 U6 spliceosomal RNA
GUGCUUGCUUUAGAAGCACAUAUACUAAAAUUGGAAUGAUACAGACAAGAUUAGUAUGGCCUCUGUGCUUGUGUGAGACACAAAUUUGUGAAGCAUUCUAUUUUUUG